rnacentral:rRNA from 1 species
AUUGAACGCUGGCGGCAUGCUUUACACAUGCAAGUCGAACGGUGACGCGGGGCAACCUGGCGACGAGUGGCGAACGGGUGAGUAAUGCAUCGGAACGUGCCCGGUAGUGGGGGAUAACUGCUCGAAAGAGCAGCUAAUACCGCAUACGACCUGAGGGUGAAAGGGGGGGAUAGCAAGACCUCGCGCUCUUGGAACGGCCGAUGUCGGAUUAGCUAGUUGGUGGGGUAAGGGCCCACCAAGGCGACGAUCCGUAGCUGGUCUGAGAGGACGACCAGCCACACUGGGACUGAGACACGGCCCAGACUCCUACGGGAGGCAGCAGUGGGGAAUUUUGGACAAUGGACGCAAGUCUGAUCCAGCCAAGCCGCGUGCGGGAAGAAGGCCUUCGGGUUGUAAACCGCUUUUGUCAGAGAAGAAAUCUUCUGGGUUAAUACCUCGGGAGGAUGACGGUAUCUGAAGAAUAAGCACCGGCUAACUACGUGCCAGCCGCCGCGGUAAGAC